rnacentral:rRNA from 1 species
UACGUAGGGGGCUAGCGUUGUCCGGAAUCAUUGGGCGUAAAGAGCGUGUAGGCGGCCCGGCAAGUCCGCUGUGAAAGUCGGGGGCUCAACCCUCGAAUGCCGGUGGAUACUGUCGGGCUAGAGUGCGGAAGAGGCGAGUGGAAUUCCUGGUGUAGCGGUGAAAUGCGCAGAUAUCAGGAGGAACACCGAUUGCGAAGGCAGCUCGCUGGGACGUAACUGACGCUGAGGAGCGAAAGCGUGGGGAGCGAACAGG